rnacentral:rRNA from 1 species
CCUACGGGACGCAGCAGUGGGGAAUAUUGCACAAUGGGCGCAAGCCUGAUGCAGCCAUGCCGCGUGUAUGAAGAAGGCCUUCGGGUUGUAAAGUACUUUCAGCGGGGAGGAAGGCGGUGAGGUUAAUAACCUCAUCGAUUGACGUUACCCGCAGAAGAAGCACCGGCUAACUCCGUGCCAGCAGCCGCGGUAAUACGGAGGGUGCAAGCGUUAAUCGGAAUUACUGGGCGUAAAGCGCACGCAGGCGGUCUGUUAAGUCAGAUGUGAAAUCCCCGGGCUUAACCUGGGAACUGCAUUUGAAACUGGCAGGCUUGAGUCUCGUAGAGGGGGGUAGAAUUCCAGGUGUAGCGGUGAAAUGCGUAGAGAUCUGGAGGAAUACCGGUGGCGAAGGCGGCCCCCUGGACGAAGACUGACGCUCAGGUGCGAAAGCGUGGGGAGCAAACAGGAUUAGAUACCCCAGUAGUC